rnacentral:rRNA from 1 species
UACGAAGGGGGCUAGCGUUGUUCGGAAUUACUGGGCGUAAAGGGCUCGUAGGUGGCCAACUAAGUCAGACGUGAAAUCCCUCGGCUUAACCGGGGAACUGCGUCUGAUACUGGAUGGCUUGAGUUUGGGAGAGGGAUGCGGAAUUCCAGGUGUAGCGGUGAAAUGCGUAGAUAUCUGGAGGAACACCUGUGGCGAAGGCGGCAUCCUGGACCAACACUGACACUGAGGAGCGAAAGCCAGGGGAGCAAACGGG